UGAGGACUUGAUGCGCAAGUAAGCACGCACAAUCCAAUCCGUCCUUUAAUUGAUCCUAAUUUGUUCCAGUGAGUGGAAGAAGUUCAUUAUUUGUGGAAAUAUUUUUGUAAUGGGAAAGGACAUAUUGGAGAAUAUCAACUGUAAAGAGGUUUACAAGUACUCAACCGAAUCAGGAGCUCAGGGAAGACAUUUGCUUCUCCAUCAGUUCAGCUGCUCUCUUCACACCAGCUGCAGGAGGAAGAUUGGGAGCGACAGAUGAGAACAAGGAGUAAAAGAAAGACAAAAUGAUGUCAAAAAGGUCACACAAAGCCUUGCACAUACAUUGGCCCCAAAGUGUUUUGACACUUAAGAAUGUAUGCAUUUCGUUGCAUUAGAUAUCUAACUAAGUGGUAUCUGCAUACAAAUCCUGCUAACACUUUUCUGAACCAAUUUUGCACAAUUUUACAUUCGAUAAACUGGUGAUUUUUAAUGGAUGCAUGUUAGCUGAACAUGGUCCACUAACGACAAACACGAUGCUUCAUUUUGAACACUACAAUGUGUCUACAAUUUUAAAUGUUUUGCUCUAAAGGUGUACAUGUGCUUCUUUAAAAUAGUCACUUUCAAUCUUUACACAGACAAGUUAAGGCUGCUCUGUGCCUGUUCAAAAUUACGUGUAAAGAUGUAAUGCUGUGUAAAAACCAGACUAAAUUAUGCCUGCUCUGUCCCACCUCAGCCCCUAGUAUAAAAGUAUACUAUUAAAAUUGCUGUGUAAAAGCAUUUAUGCCACAUUUGAGCCACUUUAAACAGUAUGUGUAAACUAAGACAUUGAAAUGCCACUUCAGAAGCGCUUCUGUGCCACCUAUACAGUGUAAAUUUGGCAUAUCUUUUGUCAAAUUUACACUGCAAAGGUGGCACAGAAGCGCAGAAUACUAGGGGCUAAGGUGGGU